rnacentral:lncRNA from 1 species
AUGGUCCUAGAGGAAGAUUUGUCCACAGUAACAUUGCUUUGGCCCUUUGGUCUGCAGAGAUUCAGGGCAGCAGACCAUCUCCCAUGGUCUGAUCUCUUCCCAGUGUUCCACAGUGCCCUUGUGUUCCUACAGCACAUAUGUGGAUACCCAGAGAAGGGCUUUCAUCUCAGCGAUCUGUGUUGCUUAGCAGUGGCCAGCCACAUACAGCAAAUGGAGGCAAGAAAAGGGAAAACAUUUCAUAAGACACGAUCCCCUUCUUCAGAAUUUCAAAGGUUAAGAAGAACUGGAGAUAUUUGGAUUAAUGUACAAGAACAGGCGGAUUAAGAGGCCCUGUGAAUUAAGGUGAUCCCUUUUAAGGCUCUGCCCUUUCACCCCUGGAGCUUGGUUUUCAUUCCUGCUCAGACUGAUGUGACUAAACUCCUCCUAAUCUGACAGCUGAUACAGGUCAAAAGUUAAACGUGUCAAGGCAGGAGAAGACAGCCUUCUCAUGGUCCCUGUCGCCAAGGCCAUGGCAGGGAAUCACGCUGACCCAGCAGCCCCAAGCACCCACGCUGCUGUGCCAUAGCAACUGAAAUACAGCAACAAGGCUUUUUUAGCAUCUCCUGGUGACGGGAUUGCCUCAGCCCCCUUAACUAACUGUUGAGCAUCCCAAGGCUGGUAAGAUGGCUCUGCUUCUCACUGCAGAGGCUUGCAAAGCUUUCCAAACCAGAGCAGAGCAGGUUAUCAUCUAAAACUGAAAGUCGUGUCCAAAGGAGGGUGCUGAAGAUGGUUUAUGAGCUGUGAGAUCUUCCAGCUUCCACAGCAAACCUCCAUCCAAAUCCAUAUCUCGGAAUGCUGAGAUUAGUGCUGGCUGGCCUGGGCAGCCUAUACUACCUAAAAUGAAUAAAUGCCUGAUUUCUCCGCGGUGUAACA